rnacentral:rRNA from 1 species
AUUGAACGCUGGCGGCAUGCUUUACACAUGCAAGUCGAACGGUAACAGGCCUUCGGGUGCUGACGAGUGGCGAACGGGUGAGUAAUGCAUCGGAACGUGCCCAAUCGUGGGGGAGUAACGUAGCGAAAGUUACGCUAAUACCGCAUAAGCCCUGAGGGGGAAAGCAGGGGAUCGCAAGACCUUGCGCGAAUGGAGCGGCCGAUGUCAGAUUAGCUAGUUGGUGGGGUAAAGGCCUACCAAGGCGACGAUCUGUAGCGGGUCUGAGAGGAUGAUCCGCCACACUGGGACUGAGACACGGCCCAGACUCCUACGGGAGGCAGCAGUGGGGAAUUUUUGGACAAUGGGCGCAAGACCUGAUCCAGCCA